GAUGAACGCUGGCGGCGUGCCUAAUACAUGCAAGUCGAGCGACCGGACAGUAAGCUUUCUCCUUUGAUGUUAGCGGGUGACGGAUGAGUAAGAAGUAGAUCACCUUCUACUAAGACUGGGAUAACUACGGGAAACCGCAUAUACUACCAGCUCAUACUUCGUACCGCUUGAUUCAAAAGUGCAUGGGGGUUUUCCUGUCACUAUUAGAUGAAUCCGCGCUGGAUUAGCUAGUUGGUAAGGUAACGGCUUACCAAGGCAACGAUGCGUAGCCGACCUGAGAGGGUGAUCAGCCACACUGGAACUGAGACACGGUCCAGACUCCUACGGGAGGCAGCAGUGGGGAAUAUUGGACAAUGGGCGCAAGCCUGACGGAGCAAUGCCGCGUGAGUGAAGAAGGUCUUCGGAUCGUAAAACUCUGUUAUUAGGGAAGAACAGAUGUGUAAGAAUCUGUGCACGUCUUGACGGUACCUAAACAGAAAGCACCGGCUAACUACGUG
rnacentral:rRNA from 1 species